CCGUAUUGCAUUAGGAUCAACAGAGUCAAGGUUGGUGCUUCCCUCCAUGGGAUGAGAAAUCUCAAAGUGGAAAGAGGAGAGCAGACGUGCUGGGCGCAUGGCAGCAUGGUGCACAUACACAGGCAAGGGAGAAUUCACAAGGUUGGAGGGAAGCUCACACCAGCAAAUGCCUUCAUGGCUGGGGGGAAGGCACCCAUGUGACGUGGGACUGAGAGGAGCCCAGCAGCAUCAGGAGGAGGCACAGCAGCAGAAGCAACUUAGCAUGUAGGUUUUUGAAAUUUUAGGAUGAAGGCUUGAUACGUGGCAACAAGAGUCAAGAAACAAGGUCCGUGGCGAGGUCCGUGGAAACAAGGAAAGCUGGAUGCAAGAACGAGGUCCGUGAAACAAGGCUUGGAACUUGGUCCUGGAGGCAAGGGACUGGAGUAGCGUAGUCCACACACAAUCUCACUCCACAAGGUGACGAAUUGACUCCGCAAGGAUUUCUUUGCGGGUAAACACCUAUAUAGGAUCUUGUUUUCCUGCCAAGGAACACUUUCCCUGGGAAACAAGAAACAAAACCCAUACUGUGUCCAGAUGCAUGACUCCUUAAAAUUUCCCAAGGGAAACAGGCUUAAUCAGCUAAUUGUCUGGCAGCAAUCCUGGCGCUUCUGCGAAUCGCCUCCUUAGCGCCUCUAUCUCGAUUAUAAUAAUCCCGGCGAGAAAAUGGGGGAGAUUUCUGCUCAAGGCUUGUUUGGCUGACUUCUUGUGGGCAAACAUCUUGCAGGUGCAAGGGCUCCAAUUCUGGCUGAAACGGUGGGAAACCCAAGUCUUCCUCUUCAUCUGCUACAAUAGUACUAGGAACGGGACUACAUGGCCCAUGAGUCAUCACACUAGCUGAUUUUCUUCUGAAAUUCUUUGAUGUGCUCCAUUAUUAAACUCAUGUUUGCAAUAUGAGCCUUAAUUCCUCUUCCUUUUCUGAACCAAACAUGGACUUCUGGUAUUAUUCAAAAAUGUUGAAAGUUUUUGUUAUAGAAUUUUAAGUAUC
rnacentral:lncRNA from 11 species